rnacentral:rRNA from 1 species
UACAGAGGGUGCGAGCGUUGUCCGGAAUCACUGGGCGUAAAGGCGCGUAGGCGGUUCUGUAAGCGUGCGGUGAAAUCGCGGGGCUCAACCCCGCGCCGGCCGUGCGAACUGCGGGACUCGAGCACUGUAGAGGCAGAUGGAAUUCCGGGUGUAGCGGUGGAAUGCGUAGAGAUCCGGAAGAACACCGGUGGCGAAGGCGGUCUGCUGGGCAGUGGCUGACGCUGAGGCGCGACAGCGUGGGGAGCAAACAGG